AGAGCGAACGCUGGCGGCAGGCUUAACACAUGCAAGUCGAGCGCCCCGCAAGGGGAGCGGCAGACGGGAGAGUAACACGUGGGAACGUACCUUUCGGUUCGGAACAACCCAGGGAAACUUGGGCUAAUACCGGAUACGCCCGUAAGGGGAAAGAUUUAUCGCCGGAAGAUCGGCCCGCGUCUGAUUAGCUAGUUGGUGAGGUAACGGCUCACCAAGGCGACGAUCAGUAGCUGGUCUGAGAGGAUGAUCAGCCUCACUGGGACUGAGACACGGCCCAGACUCCUACGGGAGGCAGCAGUGGGGAAUAUUGGACAAUGGCGCAAGCCUGAUCCAGCCAUGCCGCGUGGGUGAUGAAGGCCCUAGGGUUGUAAAGCCCUUUCGGCGGGGAAGAUAAUGACGGUACCCGCAGAAGAAGCCCCGGCUAACUUCGUGCCAGCAGCCGC
rnacentral:rRNA from 1 species